CAAUACUCCCGCCGGCGACCGGCGCACGGGUGAGUAACACGUAUGAAACCUGCCCGUAGCAGGGGGAUAAGCGGAAGAAAUUCCGUCUAAUACCGCGUAACAACCCGAGGAGGCAUCUCCUCGGGUUUAAAGGAAGCGAUUCCGGCUACGGAUGGUCAUGCGUCGCAUUAGCUAGUUGGCGGGGUAACGGCCUACCAAGCCGACGAUGCGUAGGGGUUCUGAGAGGAAGGUCCCCCACAUUGGAACUGAGACACGGUCCAAACUCCUACGGAAGGCAGCAG
rnacentral:rRNA from 1 species